AACGAACGCUGGCGGCAUGCCUAAUACAUGCAAGUCGAACGAGAUCUUCGGAUCUAGUGGCGCACGGGUGCGUAACGCGUGGGAAUCUGCCCUUGGGUUCGGAAUAACGUCGGGAAACUGACGCUAAUACCGGAUGAUGACGUAAGUCCAAAGAUUUAUCGCCCAGGGAUGAGCCCGCGUAGGAUUAGCUAGUUGGUGAGGUAAAGGCUCACCAAGGCGACGAUCCUUAGCUGGUCUGAGAGGAUGAUCAGCCACACUGGGACUGAGACACGGCCCAGACUCCUACGGGAGGCAGCAGUAGGGAAUAUUGGACAAUGGGGGCAACCCUGAUCCAGCAAUGCCGCGUGAGUGAUGAAGGCCUUAGGGUUGUAAAGCUCUUUUACCCGAGAUGAUAAUGACAGUAUCGGGAGAAUAAGCUCCGGCUAACUCCGUGCCAGCCGCCGCAGUAAUAC
rnacentral:rRNA from 1 species